CCUACGGGAGGCUGCAGUGGGGAAUAUUGGGCAAUGGGCGCAAGCCUGACCCAGCAACGCCGCGUGAAGGAAGAAGGCUUUCGGGUUGUAAACUUCUUUUCUCAGGGACGAAGCAAGUGACGGUACCUGAGGAAUAAGCCACGGCUAACUACGUGCCAGCAGCCGCGGUAAUACGUAGGUGGCAAGCGUUAUCCGGAUUUACUGGGUGUAAAGGGCGUGUAGGCGGGAAAGCAAGUCAGAUGUGAAAACCAUGGGCUCAACCUGGAGACUGCACUUGAAACUGGGUGUCUUGAGGGCAGGAGAGGAAAGUGGAAUUCCUAGUGUAGCGGUGAAAUGCGUAGAUAUUAGGAGGAACACCAGUGGCGAAGGCGACUUUCUGGACUGUACCUGACGCUGAGGCGCGAAAGCGUGGGUAGCGAACGGGAUUAGAUACCCUGGUAGUC
rnacentral:rRNA from 1 species